rnacentral:rRNA from 1 species
GACGAACGCUGGCGGCGUGCCUAAUACAUGCAAGUCGAGCGAAGUUUUUCUGGUGCUUGCACUAGAAAAACUUAGCGGCGAACGGGUGAGUAACACGUAAAGAACCUGCCUCAUAGACUGGGACAACUAUUGGAAACGAUAGCUAAUACCGGAUAACAGUAUUUCUCGCAUGAGAGAUAUUUAAAAGUUGGUUAUGCUAACACUAUGAGAUGGCUUUGCGGUGCAUUAGCUAGUUGGUGGGGUAAAGGCCCACCAAGGCGACGAUGCAUAGCCGACCUGAGAGGGUGAUCGGCCACACUGGGACUGAGACACGGCCCAGACUCCUACGGGAGGCAGCAGUAGGGAAUCUUCCGCAAUGGGCGAAAGCCUGACGGAGCAACGCCGCGUGAGUGAAGAAGGAUUUCGGUUCGUAAAGCUCUGUUGUUAGGGAAGAAUGGAUGUGUAGUAACUAUACAUGUAAGAGACGGUACCUAAACAGAAAGCAACGGCUAACUACGUG